rnacentral:rRNA from 1 species
CAAGGCAACGAUGCAUAGCCGACCUGAGAGGGUGAUCGGCCACACUGGAACUGAGACACGGUCCAGACUCCUACGGGAGGCAGCAGUAGGGAAUCUUCCGCAAUGGGCGAAAGCCUGACGGAGCAACGCCGCGUGAGUGAUGAAGGUCUUCGGAUCGUAAAACUCUGUUAUUAGGGAAGAACAUAUGUGUAAGUAACUGUGCACAUCUUGACGGUACCUAAUCAGAAAGCCACGGCUAACUACGUGCCAGCAGCCGCGGUAAUACGUAGGUGGCAAGCGUUAUCCGGAAUUAUUGGGCGUAAAGCGCGCGUAGGCGGUUUUUUAAGUCUGAUGUGAAAGCCCACGGCUCAACCGUGGAGGGUCAUUGGAAACUGGAAAACUUGAGUGCAGAAGAGGAAAGUGGAAUUCCAUGUGUAGCGGUGAAAUGCGCAGAGAUAUGGAGGAACACCAGUGGCGAAGGCGACUUUCUGGUCUGUAACUGACGCUGAUGUGCGAAAGCGUGGGGAUCAAACAGGAUUAGAUACCCUGGUAGUCCACGCCGUAAACGAUGAGUGCUAAGUGUUAGGGGGUUUCCGCCCCUUAGUGCUGCAGCUAACGCAUUAAGCACUCCGCCUGGGGAGUACGACCGCAAGGUUGAAACUCAAAGGAAUUGACGGC